UGGGGAAUUUUGGACAAUGGGCGCAAGCCUGAUCCAGCCAUGCCGCGUGAGUGAAGAAGGCCUUCGGGUUGUAAAGCUCUUUCGGCGGGGAAGAAAUGGCUUCGGUUAAUACCCGGAGUAGAUGACGGUACCAGCAUAAGAAGCACCGGCUAACUACGUGCCAGCAGCCGCGGUAAUACGUAGGGGGCGAGCGUUAAUCGGAAUUACUGGGCGUAAAGCGUGCGCAGGCGGUUGUGUAAGUCAGAUGUGAAACCCCCGGGCUCAACCUGGGAACU
rnacentral:rRNA from 1 species